GACGAACGCUGGCGGCGUGCUUAACACAUGCAAGUCGAACGGAAAGGCCCUGCUUUUGUGGGGUGCUCGAGUGGCGAACGGGUGAGUAACACGUGAGUAACCUGCCCUUGACUUUGGGAUAACUUCAGGAAACUGGGGCUAAUACCGGAUAGGAGCUCCUGCUGCAUGGUGGGGGUUGGAAAGUUUCGGCGGUUGGGGAUGGACUCGCGGCUUAUCAGCUUGUUGGUGGGGUAGUGGCUUACCAAGGCUUUGACGGGUAGCCGGCCUGAGAGGGUGACCGGCCACAUUGGGACUGAGAGACGGCCCAGACUGCUACGGGAGGCAGCAGUGGGGAAUAUUGCACAAUGGGCGGAAGCCUGAUGCAGAAACGCCGCGUGCGGGAUGACGGCCUUCGGGUUGUAAACCGCUUUCGCAUGAGACGAAGAGUGAGUGACGGUAAUGGGUAAAGAAGCACCGGCUAACUACGUG
rnacentral:rRNA from 1 species